UUGAAGGCAACUGAAUUGAUCAUCUUUCGCCAGACUUCUCCAUCAAUUUCUUAAAGUUUGAGGGUUCCUCCUAUCAAAACCAGGUGAAUCAUAUAUGGACCCUGCCAAUUGGGAGAUAACUUCCCUUUGGAUUCAUCUUGAUGCAAAAAAAUUUUCUUCAACACCAGCUGUUGCAGUGUGAACUGUCUUAGCUUGACUCUUUUGUUGAUGGCUCUAGACAUUCUGUUCUGAUAGAGUUGACCAUGGUAGACUGCAUCCAUUCUCUAUCAGUCUAUAAGGCUAGUUACUCAUAAUAACGUUUUACCCACUAAUUGUCAUCGAGCUCAACUUAUUAUAUUAUCCUUCGAGAAGGAAUUUUCUCCUCAGUGGGAAUGACAAUCUCUGUACCGUAAACCAAUGACAACCCUUUUAUUCCCUUGCUUCCCUCAAUGUCCUAAAUCCGGCUGGUUAGUUUCUUAAAUUCCUCAGCCAUGUUCCUAAUAAGCAGAUCCUUUUCAUCAGACUUAGUUGUGUAUAAGAUAGGUUGGUUGGAGUGUGACAUGGUCUCCACAUAGAAGGGUGGGGAAAUGGUCGUUUGCGGAGUUUUGAGGUUCUGGGAUGAGAAUUGGGGUGUUGUUUGGGGUAUGGCAGGUGUUACAUUAGUUUUUUGGUAAAGCAGCGUGAUGGUGGGGAGUGGGAUAAUUCUGUUGUUUUAGGAUAGUUUGAGGAGGUGUAGUGUUUUGAGCGUUAGGGAAGUUGGUA
rnacentral:lncRNA from 1 species